GCGCAGUGGGACCAGAAGGACCAAGAGGGCAGCCUGGUAUAGAUGGCAAUGAUGGGCAUGGUCACUCAGGAAGAAAAGGAGCUAAGGGUGAACCUGGCUUCCCUGGAUACCCUGGCAUACAAGGGGAAGAUGGUGAUAAAGGCCAAUCAGGAAACCAAGGACCAAAGGGAUUUCCGGGGAAAAGGGGCAGCAAGGGAUCGAAGGGUUUGUCAGACAUG
rnacentral:lncRNA from 1 species